rnacentral:lncRNA from 1 species
CUGUGAAAACUGUCGACCAUUUUCAGCUGCCCUCGAAGGUCUUUCUUGGUCAAGUGGUCCAGCAUCCUGGCGUCUACAAGGCACUCCAUGAAGUAGCUGCGGUACUGGGGGAGGCCCAGGCUGGGGAGCCACUCGUUGCCGAUCCACUCGUGGUUCAUGUCCCCAUAGGCGAGUGUCUGCUUUUCAUAAAUGGAAAAGAUAUAUAAUGAUUAUUCUGAAGCCCUCAAAUACAGUCCAUUCGGGAAAGCCUCUAGAACUGCCUGUCCACGCCUCAUGGCUGCAAUGUGCCACUGAGACAUACACCCUGACCACAGAAGGCCAGUGGCGUCGCACGACAUUUCGGCAAGCUGUCUGAACAUACAGAAUGCAAAACAGUUGGGAUAGAGUUUUUGGUGAGUUAAAGAAUUGAGAAGCUGAAAAUUCAAAUAUACAGUACUCAAGAAGAGGCUUAAUUCCUUAGGAUUCCAUUAGUAAGAAAAUCUUUAAGUGGACAUAGUAUUAGGAUAGUAUUUAGUAAAAAAUCAACACAAAGGCACAGAGGAAAAGUCAUUAUGCCAAUUUUUGUGUUUGGAAAUUUAUUAGAGCACAAUUUCCCUAUCAGUAUAUCUUGUAAUAACAUUACCCUACCAGGAAAUUACAUACAUAAUCUCAGAAGCUGCCUAAGCCACAAGACUUUGUAUACAAGAUCAUAUGUUAAACAAAGCAAUCUAUAUUAAUUAAAAAUAACUGCCAUGGCACCAUAUGAGAAAUGUUCAAAAUUGUCCAUGAGACGUACUCUUUGAUGCUAUGUUUUGCUUGACCAGUGCUUUCAAAUCAUUAACAAUCCUGUACUCCGAAUAAACUAAGAUGCUAUAAACAUCAAAAAAAGUAGAUUACACAAGUUUUCAUACUCCAAUUGCUUUUUGCUGCUGUACAUGUAGUGAAGAAUAUAUUAGAGAAAGACUCCAACCUGAGCCCAGCUUCCCUCCUCAUCUUCCUGGGGUUACGUGGUUAGGAAUGCAAAAGAACAUAACUAUUAGUAUUGGUGAGCUCGGUAAUGCAGGCAACGCAACUCUGCAGGGAAGAUGCAGCUUCACUGAGUGAAAAAGUUCAGACUAUCAAAGCAUCAUGCAAAACUCAUGCAAAACCAACAAUUUCAACUUCUCAUGCAAGGAGCAGACUCUCUCCGUGCCAAGCAUAUUCAUGGAAGGAGAAAGGGCCACACAGUCAGUCACAUGGAGGCUCAACUGAGAUCUCUCCAAAAGGAGAGCUAGAUUAAAGCUAUUCUAAAAGACAGAGUCUACCAACUUGAAGUUCCUGGAAAAAAUCUAAAAUAAAAUACAAAUUCUACUUACACAUUUCAACUAAUAACUAAAGGAAAUACUUAUCUGGAACGACUGAAUGGAAAACAACAUUUUGUUUUCAACAAAAAGGCAAAGAACCCAGACGGUCUUAAGUGGAAAACGCGCUGGGAGGAGUGCAGGCUGUGGGGCGUGACUAACCGUUUGCGGCGUGGCUGCGAGCGUUUCCAUCUCUUCGUGUGUUAACCAGACAUUUCCUGUGGUCUAAGGUGACCCCAGUGCACCAACCACAUCCAGGGCAAGGGAAGCAGUGACAAAGAGGAGAGGGGCACACGCAUAAGCCACAGGCACAGAGAAGGGGCCGAGGAGGCAAAGUUCGCUCUUCUCACUUUUCAGUUCAGAUGCCCGUACAGAAUAACCAUUCCCUGUUAACACUGGGUCGUCAACACCAUCAGGAGAAGAGCACACGAUGACGAGAGCUUUAGAUGCCAUGCUUACCCGAGGUAUGUGAAAUAUCAAGAGAAGAAAACACGUUGUGUACUUCUGGAAACUUUGAGUAAUUCUCAAGUAACUAUUGAUUCAAUAUAUUUAAAGCAGAUUAACAACAAAGAACCCAGCAUGAAACUCUUGCUUUGGCUAUUGGAGGGCUUUCUCGCAGAUGUUCCGUGACGGCCUGAAAGGCUGAAGGCAGGCCACAGGGCAGAGGGGGUCACUGCUAAGCAGUGUCGAUGGCUCUGUGCAGCCAUCAGAACCAGACACGAGACAGACAGUGGCCUGUGUGUCUACUUGAGGGAGAUUUUUUCCUUGCAUUUUGACAUGGUGUGAAGAGUCUGCCUUAUGUGAGGUGUUCUCCAUCAUUACUGAAGACAGUGGAUAAACAUGGGAGAAACCACUCAGCACCUUCAUUUUCAGCAAGGCCACUGUCAUGUGAAACAACCAGGGAAGAGCUCAGACACUGCUCCUGAGGCAGGCUGUGGGAAAGGAGCUCUUGGAGCAACAGGGGAGGACAAAGCUUAUUGUUCAUCACCAUAAUUUGUUCAUUAAGAAGAAAAAAAUAAAUAAAACAAGUAAAACCCCUCAAAACUUUUUUUGUAAGGUAACUGGGAGCCCUAAAUCCAGCGCUGACGUGCUCCUUGGAGAAAUGUGUGAGGCUCUUCAUUGCAACAAGAAUUUGUUUUCUCCUGAGGAGACUAAAAGCAGAGACUGGGAAUCCAGCCAGUGUAAAAAGUCUCAACUUUAUAAAUCUGGAGUUGGCCUGCCCUUAUCUCCCAAUAACCAUUCUUGUUUUUAUUAACAUAGUUCUUCUUUUUCAAGUAGGAUAACCCUUCUUAAGGACUUUGAGGGACUUCCCACAUGGAGAGAAACUGUAUAAGUACAGCUCAUGUUGGAUGAACAUUUGCAGAUUUGUGAACUGCUUGAAAUCCUGAGCUCCCAGGGUCUUUAGCUCCCCAAAUGGAAAACACCUACAGGCCAAAUAAAUCAAAUACAGUAAAACACUGGUUACAAGGCAACCAGUGAUCUCAUCUUUAUUUUCCCCUUUAGUUUUUAUUUUAAAAAAUGUCCGCAAACUGGAAUGAUGGGGAAGGGAGGAUUAGAAUUCUUUAGGGACCUUUUCCAAGCAUGGCUGUGCAUGCCUGUAGUCACAGCUACUUGGGAGUCUGAGGCAGGAGGAUCGCUUGAGCCCAGGAGUUCCAGACCAGCCUAGGCAACAAAGUGAGACCCAUCUCUACAAAAAAUACAAAAAUUCCUUAGGGAUCAGUUUUGACGGUGGGAUAACAAGUAUCUCUUACUAGUAUGUCACCUAUAUUUCAAUGGAUGCUUCUGGCUGGGCAUGGUGGCUCACACCUGUAAUUUCAGCACUCAGGGACUCUGAGGCAGGAGGACUACUGGAGGCCAGGAGUUCCAGACCAGCCUGGUCAACACAGCAAGACCCUGUCUCUAAGAAGUUUUUAGAAAUUAGCUGGGUGUGGUGGUGCACACCUGUAGUCCCAACUACUUGGGAGGCUGAGGUGGGAGGAUCGCUUGAGCCCAAGAGGUUGAGGCUGCAGUGAGCUACGAUUGAGCCACUGCACUCCAGCCUGGGUGACAGAGUAAGACCUUGCCUCCAAAAAAUAAAAAACUUAAAUAAAUAAAUAAAUGGGUGCUUCUAAGAAGCCUGGAAGAGCCAGUCCUCUGAACUAGACAGAAAAAUUUUACUCAAGAUGCUACUUACACAUGGAAUGAUACGGAUGAAUUCACAGACAUAACAUUAAGUGAAAGAAGCCAGACACAAGAGAGUGAAUACUACAUGAUCUUGUUUAUACACAUGAAGAACGAAACUAACAGAGCAGUCUAUGGCACCAGGAGCCAGGCACUCAUCCCUAGGGAAGGGGCAGUGCCUCAGAAGGAGCAGGAGGCCUCCAGAGCCCUGGUCAGAUCCCAUUUUUCAAUGUAGGUGUGGACCACACAGGGGAUGCUGACUUUACAGAUUCAUUUAACUGUUCACUCAUACGUGCAUUUCUCUAUAUGUAUAUUAUAUUCCAGUAACAUUUAAAAAUACACUAUAAUUGGCUUAGCAAAUAUCUUUAUAUAUAGUACAAAUGUUAAUUACUCAGUUUGAAUCAUGAAAACUGAAAAAUGAAAUUCAAAACAUUUAAUUAUAAAAUGUGUCCUUAAAAUAUUAACUUUUUCCUUCAAGAGGCCCUUAGACUGAUUCAAUUUUGAUAAACUCAGCUGGGUGUGGUGGCUCACGCCUGUAAUCCCAGCACAUUGGAAGGCUGAGGUGGGAGGACUGCUUGGAGCCCAGGAGUGCAAGACCAGCCUGGGCAACACAGCGAGACCCCCAUCUCUACCAAUUUUUUUUGGUAUUUUCGUAUUUCAUAUUUCCAUAUUUAAAUUUGUAAUUGCUUUUCUAUGUUUAAAAAAGCUCAUAUUUUUAUACUAUGAAGCCAUUCUAGCCAAUCUUUCAUAAAAGCAUUUAAUAAAGUUUCUUUUGACCAUCCAAUUCCCCAAAAUUAAAAGUUCUAAUGUAUGUGAUGCUAAAAUUUUGAAUUAGAACUAUACUUCAUAUGCUGUUAAGGAACUGGAGAAGCAAUGUAAACAGGGCAGUGAUACCUUCAGAGAGGCAUUCCCUGUUUCCAAAGAAUGCAGGGGUUGUCUCUGAACGUACCGUUCUAGAUGUGGGCGGGGCAGACGGGCUGGUCAGCGACAUGAUCUCCUGGAUGGCCAGCCUCAGCUUCAGCCUGUGCAGGGGGUUGCUGAUGCCAAUCUCACGCUGGAUCUCUGUGUCGGACAGGGCCGACAUGAUGGCCCCGCUUUUCACGUUUGCUCGGCAGGCAGCCACAUACCAGGCUGGCAUCCCAACCCAGAGCUGGAGGCGGAAAGCGGAAGGAAGGCAGCACAGUGAGGUACAGUCUACAAAGUAGAACAGUAAGUUCACAUACUGUAACCCACGCAACUGCAUGUUAAAUGAAGGAUGUACCUCUAGCCAGACCACAACCGUUGGCCCGUCCCAUUGGGCAAAAGGUAAACCUUGUCUCCGGGCUUCCUCCAGCAAUUCAUGCCUAUAAAGGAGAAGAUAUUGAAAAUUAAAGAAUCAGCCAGGCAUGGUAGCUCACACCUGUAAUCCCAGCUCUCUGGGAGGCCAAGGCAGGAGGACCACUUGAGCCCAGGAGUUCAAGACCAGCCUAGACAACACAGCGAGACCCCAACUCUACAAAAAA